GAUGAACGCUGGCGGCGUGCCUAAUACAUGCAAGUCGAGCGAACGGACGAGAAGCUUGCCUUUCUGAUGUUAGCGGCGGACGGGGGAGUAACACGUGGAUAACCUACCUAUAAGACUGGGAUAACUUCGGGAAACCGGAGCUAAUACCGGAUAAUAUUUUGAACCGCAUGGUUCAAAAGUGAAAGACGGUCUUGCUGUCACUUAUAGAUGGAGCCGCGCUGCAUUAGCUAGUUGGUAAGGUAACGGCUUACCAAGGCAACGAUGCAUAGCCGACCUGAGAGGGUGAUCGGCCACACUGGAACUGAGACACGGUCCAGACUCCUACGGGAGGCAGCAGUAGGGAAUCUUCCGCAAUGGGCGAAAGCCUGACGGAGCAACGCCGCGUGAGUGAUGAAGGUCUUCGGAUCGUAAAACUCUGUUAUUAGGGAAGAACAUAUGUGUAAGUAACUGUGCACAUCUUGACGGUACCUAAUCAGAAAGCCACGGCUAACUACGUG
rnacentral:rRNA from 1 species